CGAAUUACUCGUCAAUAGCUUGUAGCAAGUUUCGAACAUUUUUGUCAAUAGCUUGUAACAGACUUCAUUGUAUUUCCAUGAUUUUUUUAUUUUUUUUAAUUUUUUUUAUAUGAAGAUCAAAUAUGAUUGCCAAAUUAAGUUAUUUGCCAUCCAUCGUAUUUUGAGUGCAAUAUAUAUCUCGUGCAUGAGAUGAGAUAUAACCCUAGGUACAUAUUAUUACCCUUCGAGAUGACAAAAGUUUGAAUUCAAAGACGUCAUUCAUCUUUUUUUAUGUCACUACUUAAGUAUUAUUCUUUUUCUCCAACAUGAGAUGCUCGGUCAACGUACGCAGCAGAGAAAAGUUGUUAGACGGUUUCGCUUUAUUCGAAAGAAGAGAAACUAACAAGGCGGCUUGGGGUGAUUGAUAAAGGCAUAAGAAGUCAUAUAAAAAUGGUGUGGAUCCCUUUAUUCAAAUAUUACGAAUCGAAAUCGCAGUUCGGAUCCAAAUCACAGACCCCAUCGUGUUUCGUGAUCCAGCAGGGGAAGUCGAGGCGCGAAACAGGAGCUCUAGGGUUCGAGGGGAGGAGGCGAAGAGAAAAUGGCCCCAAAGAUGAUUGCUUUUGGAAAUAUCCUUGACGGUAAGGGGAGCAAGGAUUGAGGGAAGGUGGAGGAUUCAAGUGGUUAUUUUUUACCACUUCUCUGUUGCUUUGAUUGGACCUGAACUCUUGGGUGGUACAUGAGAGGUCUUUCUACUUGUGGGUGCUAAAACUCUUUCCAUAUGACCAACUCCAGAGCCGUCUCUUGCACUGGCUUGCUGUUUUAUCUUUUGGCUUUUCCAAGUAGAAUAUUGUAAGUAAUUAAGAUGGAUUGCCUAAACUUUAUCUUCUGUUGCAGCUUUUGUUUCAAGUGGAAUCCUUACUGGUUGCAUAUAUUCUGGCAUGUGCUAUUUACAUGGUUACUUGAUAUAUGCAGUGGUUACCGUUCAAUGUUUAUUACAGCGACUGGUAUGCAUUUGUCAUUACCUAUUGGUAGACAAAACUUAUGCUGCUGCCACCUUCGGUUGUUACUAAGAAACCAAAUAGUUUAGAUAAAAGUGAGUCACCCUAAAAAGAAGGUUGCAAGGUGUUUCAACUGUCGAGGAUGAUACUAACCUCACACAAAUAGAAUAUGUUAUAAUUAAUUCUCAUUAAAUGAAACUUCUGAAUACACUUUAGAGUUGCUUAUUUAAGCAUAUUAAUUUUUUGGUUUCCCUUGGUCAUUUGUUCAAAGUGUGAUCGCAAUUGCAGAUUGCUGAAGUUAGCAUGCAUUAUUCUGGCUAAAGCUCACUGAUCGUGUCAUACCUUUGUGUAAUUUUAUUUGCAUCAUGUUUAUGAACUGGGCAAUGAUAUAACUUUUUUUUAAGAUUUCUAUUUUGCAGAUGAUCGAUGAUCAAGAUUUGGGAUUUUUUGCUAAUUUUCUUGGCAUAUUUAUACUUGUUUUGGUAAUUGCGUAUCAUUAUGUGAUGGCCGACCCAAAGUAGGAAGAAACUCAAGCUCGGGAUAGUAGUCUUGUAGAAAGCAAGUAGAACUUACCGGGGGACUAACAUCUAAAUGACGGUCAUCUGUGUUUAUAUUGAUAUGGAUGUAAUACUUUUGAUCCAGGAUCUAGUUAGAAUUUCACAUUUUCUUCAUAAUUGAGGACUUUUGGUAGUAUACUUA